rnacentral:rRNA from 1 species
UACGGAGGAUGCGAGCGUUAUCCGGAUUUAUUGGGUUUAAAGGGUGCGCAGGCGGUCUGUUAAGUCAGCGGUCAAAGCCCGGGGCUCAACUCCGGGACUGCUUUUGAAACUGUGUGACUGGAGUGCAGGAGAGGUAAGCGGAAUUCCUGGUGUAGCGGUGAAAUGCGUAGAUAUAUGGAAGAACACCAGUGGCGAAGGCGGCCGCCUGGCCUGUUGCUGACGCUGAGGCACGAAAGCGUGGGGAGCAAAUAGG